rnacentral:tRNA from 1 species
GGCCUAGUACCCAAGCAGUUAGGGAGCGGUCUGCAAAACCGUUUUACGCGAGUGCAAAUCUCGCCUAGGCCU